GCAAAAAUCUCAUUACAGAAGCACAUAAAUGCAUGCCUAGCAUACCUUUCGGGAAAGUUACCAGCCAGCUCUGGUUACAUUGGCUGCCUAGGGGCAGGAGAGCUGGGGCUGGGUUCCCUGUGUCCCUCUUUGUGCUCUGAAUUUUGAACCAUGUGAAUGUGGCAUCUACUCAGAAGUGGUAGAACUAAUAAAACCGUAUAUAAAAUAAGAAAGCCAUCCCUAACCACCUCCCUUACUUCUGCUUCUCAGCUUCACCCAUGAUUAACAGUUUGUUUUUUUAUCUUUCCAGGUCUCUAUGCUCAGUGGUAGGCCUGACACAUGCUCAGCAAGCGCUGUACCACCAAGCUGCACUCCUAGCUGAAGUUUAUCUUUUUAUUUUUAUUUUUGGUACCAGAGAUCGAACUCGGGUCCUUGUGCUUGCGAGGCACCAAGUUUAUCUUUUUAAAGUGCACAGUUCCAUAGUUUCUAGUGUACUCAAACAGUUGUGCAAUCAUCACCACUGUAAUUCUAGGACAUUUUUGUCACCCCUAAAAGAAACCUCUUGCCCAUGAACAGACACUUCCCAUUCCACCCUUCCCUAGCUCUUGCUGUCAUUCUACUCUGCCUGGUGUAUUUGCCUCAUUUGGGCAUUUCAUGUAAAUGGAACCAUGUGAUAUGUGCCCAGCUUUGUUCCCUUUGGAUGGUGUUUUCUGCACACCAUGUGGUAGUGUGUGUCAGGACUAAAUUCCUUUCCUGGCUGUAUAAUUUUCAGUUGUGUCACUAGACCUCAUUUUGUUUAUCUGUUCCUCCGUUGGUAGGUGUAUUUGGCUUGUAGGUUUUGUUUGCAGGUUACUUCCCCUUACCAGGUGUCAUGGAGACUUUACAUGUUAGCAACUCUCAUGACCUCCAGUCCCUUUUGAUUGCUGUGCAUUGAUCCUCAGUGUGAUACUCAGUGCCUUUAGAGACCCCUGGGUUAGCCUUGUAUCACUUCACUUCCUUCAGGGAAUCAGAUAGCUUAAGGGGUUUUUGGUCACUUAACCCAUGGCUCAAUAUUAUAAUGAGAAAAUGGAAUUUCAGGGAGAGGAAGGAUCCCUGGAGAUCCAGCAUGUGGGUCUCAGUUGUGAUGGCAGGGCCAGAUCCAUCAGGCUGAUGUUCCACCUGGAGAGGCGGAGCCCCACCCCGCCCUCACAGCCCUACAUCCCGGUAUCCCCAGAUUUUUAUGAAGG
rnacentral:lncRNA from 1 species